GAGAAAAAUCAUGUAGUAGAAGCAACUACGUGGUCGUUCUUAUUUUUACCAUGGCAAAAAUGGUAAUAUUGACAAAAGUUUGUGUUAAUUUUACCCAAAUUUGAUCAUAAUAACUAUGCUUUGACAGAUCUCCUAAUAGUAACCAUUACCACUUACUUUGGUUGAUUUGGCUGCUAAUUUCAGAGUUAAAAUUACCAUGACUAUGUUUCACGACUACAAUUUCGUAGUUGACUCGAACAGGCAGCAUUCUUAGAGAAACGUAACAUGACCGCCUCUUUUUGCAUUUUUGACUGUGUUUUAUAUUGAUCCAGCAGAUAUAUUCUUACAGAACUACACGGAAUAGCUGUCCUUAUAUUGAAAUCGGGAAAUGGGGACUGCAGCAGAAGCAACUAGUGGGAUUAUGCGAGAAAUUGUGGAGGAGAAACAAUCGGUGCUGGAUGUACCGAGUUGUGGAUUUGGCUGCGAUAUCCUUAUAAGACUUCAAGAGGUGAGUUUGGGCAAUUGAGGUAGAUUGGUUGAUGACAUUACAGUCUGAAUCGCUGGAACUAUUCUUACAGAUCUUCCGUAUCAGCAGCAAUCACAUCAACAUAUUGGAUUUCUCUACGGCCAACGCCAGCAAAGCGCUCUGAGCUGCCAAUUCUGCAUGUUGCUGUUUCAGUGCCAUCGUCAGUGCCUAAGUAAAAAAUCGCCACACUAUCAGCAAUGACUUCUACUUGGGAGCAAAUUUGAUAAAAUUUUGAAAUUACGGCGAAGGGCACGACGGGUGGAUCAUUUGUGGCGGUACUGGCAACAACAGCUAGGAAGCAACAUGUUUUCCCCGUAUUUUUUGUAAUUAAAUUGAAUAAAAUAUAACUUCAA